rnacentral:rRNA from 1 species
ACGAACGCUGGCAGCGUGGAUUAGGCAUGCAAGUCGAACGUGAAGCCGAUGAACAAUCUUUCGGGAGAGUGAUUCGGUGGAAAGUGGCGAAAGGGUGAGUAACGCGUGGGUAAGCUAUCUUGAAGUUUGGGACAACCCGCCGAAAGGCGGGCUAAUACCGAAUGUGGUCGCUGGAUGCAUAUCCGGAUGAUUAAAGGUGGGGCUCCUUUUGGACCUGCCGCUUUUAGAGGUGCCCGCGUGCCAUCAGCUAGUUGGUAGGGUAACGGCCUACCAAGGCUUACGGCUAGCCGGCCUGAGAGGGUGAUCAGCCACACUGGGACUGAGACACUGCCCAGACUCCUACGGGAGGCUGCAGUCGAGGAUCAUUCACAAUGCGCGAAAGCGUGAUGAUGCGACGCUGCGUGGAGGAUGAAGGACUUCGGUUCGUAAACUCCUGUCAUGAGGGAACAGCCAUCUUACCCCGAAUACGUGGAUGUUUUGAUAGUACCUCAAGAGGAAGUCACGGCUAACUCUGUGCCAGCAGCCGCGGUAAUACAGAGGUGGCAAACGUUGUUCGGAUUUACUGGGCGUAAAGGGUGCGUAGGUGGAUUUGUGUGUUGGAUGUGAAAGCCCGUGGCUUAACCGCGGAAUUGCAUUCGAAACUGCAAGUCUAGAGACCAAAAGGGGAGAGCGGAAUUCUUGGUGUAGCGGUGAAAUGCGUUGAUAUCAAGAAGAAACACCGGUGGCGAAGGCGGCUCUCUGGAAUGUUACUGACACUGAGGCACGAAAGCUGGGGGAGCAAACAGGAUUAGAUACCCUGGUAGUCCCAGCUGUAAACGGUGUGCACUUGGUGUGGGAGGUAUUGACCCCUCCCGUGCCGGAGCUAACGCGUUAAGUGCACCGCCUGGGGAGUACGGCCGCAAGGCUAAAACUCAAAGAAAUUGACGGGGGCCCGCACAAGCGGAGGAGCAUGUGGCUUAAUUCGAUGCAACGCGAAGAACCUUACCAGGGCUUGACAUAUACCUGCACGCCCGCCGAAAGGUGGGAAGCUUUCGAAGGUGGUAUACAGGUGCUGCAUGGCUGUCGUCAGUUCGUGCCGUGAGGUGUUGGGUUAAGUCCCGCAACGAACGCAACCCUUGUGUCUAGUUGCCACCGCAGGUGAUGAGCCUGCGAGCACUCUAGACAGACUGCCCGUGCAAGCGGGAGGAAGGUGGGGAUGACGUCAAGUCAGUAUGGCCCUUACGCCCAGGGCUGCACACGUGCUACAAUGGUUGGUACAAUGGGAUGCAAUGCCGCGAGGCGGAGCAAAUCCUCAAAGCCAGCCUCAGUUCGGAUUGGAGUCUGCAACUCGACUCCAUGAAGUUGGAUUCGCUAGUAACGGCGCAUCAGCUACGGCGCCGUGAAUACGUUCCCGGGCCUUGUACACACCGCCCGUCACAUCACGAAAGCCGUCUGCACCCGAAGUCGCUGAUCUAACCCGCAAGGGAGGAAGGUGCCGAAGGUGUGGGUGGUGAUUGGGAUGA